CCAACUCCACUUAUAAUCUCCUGAAAAGUUAAAAAAAACAUCUGAAAACUAUCCGAUAUUGAACUGGAAAUGUAAGUGAGUGAUAACCACACGAACCGGCGCGAUGUAUUCUUCAGUUCCCACGAAAGAAUUUGAUGCUCGAACCGGUUCGCUAUCGGAUGCAAAAAUCUAGUGAUCAAGAUAAAAAAAAUGUUGAGUUUUCUUACAUACAGUCAAAUUGAUUUUGUAACGGCCAAAAGAGUUGCAAAGACUAGUUUACGACGGUUUAGGCCAAAACAAUGUCUCGUCGCGAAUUUUUGCGAUAAAAAUAUGAUGUCAGAUUUUAGCAACGGAAUAUCUAUUGCUACUUAACAUGUGUGUAAUUUGUAGCGAUGGUUUAUUGACAGAAGUGUUAGCGACCACAUUGUGUUCUAGUGUUAUUAACAAUUAUCUUUUGUCUAUAUAGCAAUGAUGAAUUAUUUUCUAGCAAAGACCGCGCAUAACUUACAAUGGGAUUAUCAGGAAGUCGUGG
rnacentral:lncRNA from 1 species